rnacentral:rRNA from 2 species
UGGGGGAUAACGUUCGGAAACGGACGCUAAUACCGCAUACGUCCUACGGGAGAAAGCAGGGGACCUUCGGGCCUUGCGCUAUCAGAUGAGCCUAGGUCGGAUUAGCUAGUUGGUGGGGUAAUGGCUCACCAAGGCGACGAUCCGUAACUGGUCUGAGAGGAUGAUCAGUCACACUGGAACUGAGACACGGUCCAGACUCCUACGGGAGGCAGCAGUGGGGAAUAUUGGACAAUGGGCGAAAGCCUGAUCCAGCCAUGCCGCGUGUGUGAAGAAGGUCUUCGGAUUGUAAAGCACUUUAAGUUGGGAGGAAGGGUUGUAGAUUAAUACUCUGCAAUUUUGACGUUACCGACAGAAUAAGCACCGGCUAACUCUGUGCCAGCAGCCGCGGUAAUACAGAGGGUGCAAGCGUUAAUCGGAAUUACUGGGCGUAAAGCGCGCGUAGGUGGUUAGUUAAGUUGGAUGUGAAAUCCCCGGGCUCAACCUGGGAACUGCAUUCAAAACUGACUGACUAGAGUAUGGUAGAGGGUGGUGGAAUUUCCUGUGUAGCGGUGAAAUGCGUA